rnacentral:rRNA from 1 species
UACGAAGGGGGCUAGCGUUGCUCGGAAUCACUGGGCGUAAAGCGCACGUAGGCGGCUUUUUAAGUCAGGGGUGAAAUCCUGGAGCUCAACUCCAGAACUGCCUUUGAUACUGAGAAGCUUGAGUCCGGGAGAGGUGAGUGGAACUGCGAGUGUAGAGGUGAAAUUCGUAGAUAUCCGCAAGAACACCAGUGGCGAAGGCGGCUCACUGGCCCGAUACUGACGCUGAGGCACGAAAGCGUGGGGAGCAAACAGG